CGUACACUCCUGCGGGAGGCAGCAGUGGGGAAUAUUGGACAAUGGGCGCAAGCCUGAUCCAGCCAUGCCGCGUGAGUGAUGAAGGCCCUAGGGUUGUAAAGCCCUUUCACCGGUGAAGAUAAUGACGGUAACCGGAGAAGAAGCCCCGGCUAACUUCGUGCUAGCAGCCGCGGUAAUACGAAGGGGGCUAGCGUUGUUCGGAUUUACUGGGCGUAAAGCGCACGUAGGCGGACUAUUAAGUCAGGGGUGAAAUCCCGGGGCUCAACCCCGGAACUGCCUUUGAUACUGGUAGUCUUGAGUUCGAGAGAGGUGAGUGGAAUUCCGAGUGUAGAGGUGAAAUUCGUAGAUAUUCGGAGGAACACCAGUGGCGAAGGCGGCUCACUGGCUCGAUACUGACGCUGAGGUGCGAAAGCGUGGGGAGCAAACAGGAUUAGAAACCCGUGUAGUCCCA
rnacentral:rRNA from 1 species